GUGGUAAUGCCGGAUGCUCCAUCACACCGCAUGGUGUGUUGGGAAAGCCUUUGCGGCAUGGGAUGGGGUCGCGUCCUAUCAGCUUGAUGGCGGGGUAACGGCCCACCAUGGCUUCGACGGGUAGCCGGCCUGAGAGGGCGACCGGCCACAUUGGGACUGAGAUACGGCCCAGACUCCUACGGGAGGCAGCAGUGGGGAAUAUUGCACAAUGGGCGCAAGCCUGAUGCAGCGACGCCGCGUGAGGGAUGGAGGCCUUCGGGUUGUAAACCUCUUUUGUUAGGGAGCAAGGCAUUUUGUGUUGAGUGUACCUUUCGAAUAAGCACCGGCUAACUACGUGCCAGCAGCCGCGGUAAUACGUAGGGUGCAAGCGUUAUCCGGAAUUAUUGGGCGUAAAGGGCUCGUAGGCGGUUCGUCGCGUCCGGUGUGAAAGUCCAUCGCUUAACGGUGGAUCCGCGCCGGGUACGGGCGGGCUUGAGUGCGGUAGGGGAGACUGGAAUUCCCGGUGUAACGGUGGAAUGUGUAGAUAUC
rnacentral:rRNA from 1 species